rnacentral:rRNA from 1 species
UGGGGAAUUUUGGACAAUGGGGGAAACCCUGAUCCAGCCAUCCCGCGUGUGCGAUGAAGGCCUUCGGGUUGUAAAGCACUUUUGGCAGGAAAGAAACGUCAUGGGUUAAUACCCCGUGAAACUGACGGUACCUUCAGAAUAAGCACCGGCUAACUACGUGCCAGCAGCCGCGGUAAUACGUAGGGUGCAAGCGUUAAUCGGAAUUACUGGGCGUAAAGCGUGCGCAGGCGGUUCGGAAAGAAAGAUGUGAAAUCCCAGAGCUCAACUUUGGAGCUGCAUUUUUAACUACCGGGCUAGAGUGUGUCAGAGGGAGGUGGAAUUCCGCGUGUAGCAGUGAAAUGCGUGGAUAUGCGGAGGAACACCGAUGGCGAAGGCAGCCUCCUGGGAUAACACUGACGCUCAUGCACGAAAGCGUGGGGAGCAAACAGG